rnacentral:rRNA from 1 species
UGGGGAAUUUUGCGCAAUGGGCGAAAGCCUGACGCAGCAACGCCGCGUGUGUGAUGAAGGCCCUCGGGUUGUAAAGCACUGUUCAGAGGGAAGAACAAGCGGGGGUAACGCCUCGAACUGACGGUACCUCUGAAGGAAGCACCGGCUAACUCCGUGCCAGCAGCCGCGGUAAUACGGAGGGUGCUAGCGUUGUUCGGAAUCAUUGGGCGUAAAGGGCGUCUAGGUGGCUGUUCAAGUCAGAUGUGAAAUGCCUCGGCUCAACCGAGGAAGUGCAUUUGAAACUGGACGGCUCGAGUGUCGGAGGGGGCAGCGGAAUUCCCGGUGUAGAGGUGAAAUUCGUAGAUAUCGGGAGGAACACCAGCGGCGAAGGCGGCUGCCUGGCCGACUACUGACACUGAAGCGCGAAAGCGUGGGGAGCAAACAGG